rnacentral:rRNA from 1 species
GACGAACGCUGGCGGCGUGCUUAACACAUGCAAGUCGAACGAUGAAGCCGGAGCUUGCUCUGGUGAAUUAGUGGCGAACGGGUGAGUAACACGUGAGUAACCUGCCCUUGACUCUGGGAUAACUGCUAGAAAUGGUGGCUAAUACCGGAUACGACCCUCGGAGGCAUCUCCAGGGGGGGGAAAGAAUUUCGGUCAAGGAUGGACUCGCGGCCUAUCAGCUAGUUGGUGAGGUAACGGCUCACCAAGGCGACGACGGGUAGCCGGCCUGAGAGGGUGACCGGCCACACUGGGACUGAGACACGGCCCAGACUCCUACGGGAGGCAGCAGUGGGGAAUAUUGCACAAUGGGCGCAAGCCUGAUGCAGCAACGCCGCGUGAGGGAUGACGGCCUUCGGGUUGUAAACCUCUUUUAGUAGGGAAGAAGCGAAAGUGACGGUACCUGCAGAAAAAGCACCGGCUAACUACGUGCCAGCCGCCGCGGUAA